rnacentral:ncRNA from 1 species
AACAGGCUUGGUCCUGGCCUUUCUAUUAGCUCUUAGCAGGAUUACACAUGCAAGCAUCCCCGCUCCAGUGAAGACGCCCUAUAAAUCAUCAUGACCAAGAGGAGCAAGCAUCAAGCACGCACACGCAGCUCAAAACGCUUUGCCUAGCCACACCCCCACGGGAGACAGCAGUGACAAAUAUUUAGCAAUAAACGAAAGUUCAACUAAGCCAUGCUAUAUUUAGGGUUGGUCAAUUUCGUGCCAGCCACCGCGGUUACACGAUUAACCCCAGCUAAUAGAGAUCGGCGUAGAGGGUGUUUAAGAUCUGACAUAAUAAAGCUAAACUCCACCUAAACUGUAAAACCCUAGCUAAUGUAAAAUAAACUACGAAAGUGGCUUUAAAGCUUCUGAACACACAAUAGCCAAGACCCAAACUGGGAUUAGACACCCCACUAUGCUUGGCCCUAAACCUCAGUAGUUAGAUAACAAAACUACUCGCCAGAAUACUACAAGCAACAGCUUAAAACUCAAAGGACUUGACGGUGCUUUACAUCCCCCUAGAGGAGCCUGUUCCAUAAUCGAUAAACCCCGAUCCACCCCACCCUCUCUUGCUCAGCCUAUAUACCGCCAUCUUCAGCAAACCCUAAUGAAGGCUACAAAGUGAGCGCAAACGCCACUGCCGCGAAUACGUUAGGUCAAGGUGUAGCCCAUGAGACGGUAAAAAAUGGGCUACAUUUUCUAUUUCAGAAAACNCCCACGAAAACCCUUAUGAAACUUAAGGGUCCAAGGAGGAUUUAGCAGUAAAUUAAGAAUAGAGUGCUUAAUUGAACCAGGCCAUAAAGCGCGCACACACCGCCCGUCACUCCUCUCAAAUAUAUUUAAGGAAUAUCCUAACUAAACGCCCUAACAUUUAUAUAGAGAGGAUAAGUCGUAACAUGGUAAGCGUACUGGAAGGUGCGCUUGGAUAAAU